AUUGAACGCUGGCGGUAGGCCUAACACAUGCAAGUCGAACGGCAGCACAGUAAGAGCUUGCUCUUACGGGUGGCGAGUGGCGGACGGGUGAGGAAGACAUCGGAAUCUACUUUUUCGUGGGGGAGAACGUAGGGAAACUUACGCUAAUACCGCAUACGACCUACGGGUGAAAGCAGGGGAUCUUCGGACCUUGCGCGAUUGAAUGAGGCGAUGUCGGAUUAGCUAGUUGGCGGGGUAAAGGCCCACCAAGGCGACGAUCCGUAGCUGGUCUGAGAGGAUGAUCAGCCACACUGGAACUGAGACACGGUCCAGACUCCUACGGGAGGCAGCAGUGGGGAAUAUUGGACAAUGGGCGCAAGCCUGGUCCAGCCAUACCGCGUGGGUGAAGAAGGCCUUCGGGUUGUAAAGCCCUUUUGUUGGGAAAGAAAAGCAGCAGGUUAAUACCCCGCUGUUCUGACGGUACCCAAAGAAUAAGCACCGGCUAACUUCGUG
rnacentral:rRNA from 1 species